rnacentral:rRNA from 1 species
CACGUAGGGCGCGAGCGUUAAUCGGAUUUACUGGGCGUAAAGCGCGCGUAGGCGGCUAAUUAAGUCAAAUGUGAAAUCCCCGAGCUUAACUUGGGAAUUGCAUUCGAUACUGGUUAGCUAGAGUGUGGGAGAGGAUGGUAGAAUUCCAGGUGUAGCGGUGAAAUGCGUAGAGAUCUGGAGGAAUACCGAUGGCGAAGGCAGCCAUCUGGCCUAACACUGACGCUGAGGUGCGAAAGCAUGGGGAGCAAACAGG